rnacentral:hammerhead_ribozyme from 1 species
AUCUAUUUGAUGAGUCCUAAAUGGGACGAAAUGCGCAUCUUAGAU